rnacentral:tRNA from 1 species
GGGUAAUUAGCUCAGUUGGUUAGAGCGCUGUCCUCACACGACAGAGGUCGGUGGUUCGAGUCCACCAUUACCCA